rnacentral:rRNA from 1 species
AGCAGCCGCGGUAAUUCCAGCUCCAAUAGCGUAUAUUAAAGUUGUUGCAGUUAAAAAGCUCGUAGUUGAAUUUCGGGGUUCUACCGUUGGUCGGGCUAUUGUCUGUACUAGCGUGUAGAAUUUCUACCUUCUGGGGAACCAUCAUGUUAUUAAUUUAGCGUGGUGGGAAACCAGGACCUUUACCUUGAAAAAAUUAGAGUGUUCAAAGCAGGCUUACGUCUGAAUACAUUAGCAUGGAAUAAUAAAAUAGGACGGUGGUCCUGUUUUGUUGGUUUCUGAAUCACCGUAAUGAUUAAUAGGGAUAGUUGGGGGCAUUAGUAUUCAAUUGUCAGAGGUGAAAUUCUUGGAUUUAUUGAAGACUAACUUCUGCGAAAGCAUUUGCCAAGGAUGUUUUCAUUAAUCAAGAACGAAAGUUAGGGGAUCGAAGACGAUCAGAUACCGUCGUAGUCU